GCUUAUCACCAUUCCAGAUUGAAUAUACCCGAUCUCGUUUGAUCUCGGAAGUCAAGCAAUCUCGGGCUUGGUUAGU
rnacentral:rRNA from 1 species